rnacentral:rRNA from 1 species
UACGUAGGUGACAAGCGUUGUCCGGAUUUACUGGGCGUAAAGAGCGCGCAGGCGGUCGUUCAAGUCGAGUGUGAAAGCCCCCGGCUCAACUGGGGAGGGUCAUUCGAUACUGAUCGACUCGAAGGCAGGAGAGGGUAGUGGAAUUCCCGGUGUAGUGGUGAAAUGCGCAGAUAUCGGGAGGAACACCGGUGGCGAAGGCGGUUCUCUGGGCCUUACCUGACGCUGAGGAGCGAAAGCGUGGGGAGCGAACAGG